GACGAACGCUGGCGGCGUGCUUAACACAUGCAAGUCGAACGGAAAGGCCCUUCGGGGUACUCGAGUGGCGAACGGGUGAGUAACACGUGGGUGAUCUGCCCUGCACUUUGGGAUAAGCCUGGGAAACUGGGUCUAAUACCGAAUAGGACCACGCGCUUCAUGGUGUGUGGUGGAAAGCUUUUGCGGUGUGGGAUGGGCCCGCGGCCUAUCAGCUUGUUGGUGGGGUAAUGGCCUACCAAGGCGACGACGGGUAGCCGGCCUGAGAGGGUGACCGGCCACACUGGGACUGAGAUACGGCCCAGACUCCUACGGGAGGCAGCAGUGGGGAAUAUUGCACAAUGGGCGCAAGCCUGAUGCAGCGACGCCGCGUGAGGGAUGACGGCCUUCGGGUUGUAAACCUCUUUCAAUAGGGACGAAGCGCAAGUGACGGUACCUAUAGAAGAAGCACCGGCCAACUACGUGCCAGCAGCCGCGGUAAUACGUAGGGUGCGAGCGUUGUCCGGAAUUACUGGGCGUAAAGAGCUCGUAGGUGGUUUGUCGCGUUGUUCGUGAAAACUCACAGCUUAACUGUGGGCGUGCGGGCGAUACGGGCAGACUAGAGUACUGCAGGGGAGACCGGAAUUCCUGGUGUAGCGGUGGAAUGCGCAGAUAUCAGGAGGAACACCGGUGGCGAAGGCGGGUCUCUGGGCAGUAACUGACGCUGAGGAGCGAAAGCGUGGGGAGCGAACAGGAUUAGAUACCCUGGUAGUCCACGCCGUAAACGGUGGGUACUAGGUGUGGGUUCCUUCCUUGGGAUCCGUGCCGUAGCUAACGCAUUAAGUACCCCGCCUGGGGAGUACGGCCGCAAGGCUAAAACUCAAAGGAAUUGACGGGGGCCCGCACAAGCGGCGGAGCAUGUGGAUUAAUUCGAUGCAACGCGAAGAACCUUACCUGGGUUUGACAUGCACAGGACGCCGGCAGAGAUGUCGGUUCCCUUGUGGCCUGUGUGCAGGUGGUGCAUGGCUGUCGUCAGCUCGUGUCGUGAGAUGUUGGGUUAAGUCCCGCAACGAGCGCAACCCUUGUCCUAUGUUGCCAGCGGGUUAUGCCGGGGACUCGUAGGAGACUGCCGGGGUCAACUCGGAGGAAGGUGGGGAUGACGUCAAGUCAUCAUGCCCCUUAUGUCCAGGGCUUCACACAUGCUACAAUGGCCGGUACAAAGGGCUGCGAUGCCGUGAGGUGGAGCGAAUCCUUUCAAAGCCGGUCUCAGUUCGGAUCGGGGUCUGCAACUCGACCCCGUGAAGUCGGAGUCGCUAGUAAUCGCAGAUCAGCAACGCUGCGGUGAAUACGUUCCCGGGCCU
rnacentral:rRNA from 1 species